rnacentral:misc_RNA from 1 species
GAAAUGCGAUAAGUAAUGUGAAUUGCAGAAUUCCGUGAAUCAUCGAAUCUUUGAACGCACAUUGCGCCCUCUGGCAUUCCGGGGGGGCAUGCCUGUCCGAGCGUCAUUACGCACCCUCAAGCCCGGCUUGUGUGAUGGGCCCCGGCGUCUCGUUCGCGAGACGGGCCCGAAAGGCAGCGGCGGCGUCGACCCGAUGAGCCCGAGCGUAUGGGGACUUCUGUCACACGUUCGCGGUGCGGACCGGCGCCUGCUUGACUUUUCUGAUUAUCCAGGUUGACCUCGGAUCAGGUAGGGAUACCCGCUGAACGUAAGCA